rnacentral:misc_RNA from 1 species
GAAAUGCGAUAUGUAAUGUGAAUUGCAGAAUUCAGUGAAUCAUCGAAUCUUUGAACGCACAUUGCGCCCGCCAGUAUUCUGGCGGGCAUGCCUGUUCGAGCGUCAUCUCAACCAUCAAGCCCCCGGCUUGUGUUGGGGACCUGCGGCUGCCCGCAGGCCCUGAAAAACAGUGGCGGGCUCGCUGUCACACCGAGCGUAGUAGCAUACAUUCUCGCUCAGGGCGUGCUGCGGGUUCCGGCCGUUAAACGACCUUCAUAACCCAAGGUUGACCUCGGAUCAGGUAGGAAGACCCGCUGAACUUAAGC